GGAGAAAACUGCAAGAUGAAUUUAGCUCUAGUAUCAAUUGAAGGUAUCUCAUUUGUUUCAAAAGAUAUAAUGGUUCUUCCGCUCUUCUAUUGUUCUUCAUCAUCCUCUACCAGUAUCCUCUUGCUUGCUUCAUAACACAUAAAAGCUAUCCCAGCUGCAGGUACCAACUUCAUGCAGCUGGGACCCAGACCUUUAUAUAAACCCUGGAACCCUUCCUGCUCAAGUAUGCUUGCAAGUGCAUGAAGUACAUUCUUGUACACUUGUCUUCCACUGAGAGCUCCAACCUGCAUAUGCUUGCGUGCAACUUCAAGUGGGAAAGUUGCACUACUGGAUAUAGCUCCAGCUGCUGAUCCAAUUAAUAGGGUUUCAAUGUUGCCAAUCUUCUCUUGCUUAAAAACUUUCCGAUAGGCUUUCCGUAAUGUGUCAUAAGCAAAGUAAUUUGUGGCAGCA
rnacentral:misc_RNA from 1 species